ACAGGUCGGACAGGCAGCGAUUGCUGCACAUCAGGCUCAUAUCGACAGAGAGCUUACAUCACUGACAUGAGUCAAUGCGUACUGUUGCUAACCAACUGUGGGUUUUGGGGAUCACAGAGCAGAGUCAUGAACUUUGGAGACAGCAGAAGGCGAGCUCAGGAAGGAGCAAUUGGGUGACCAGUGGGACAGAGAGAGGUAGCAGGGAAAUUUUCUGUCUGAAACAGACAGAACAUGGGUCUUCUACAGUGAGUAGAGAUAAUCAGAGCUUGUGACCAAGGGGAAUAAUUUCUUCUGAGAAUGGAGAGAGUUGACAACUGAGACAAAGGUGGGCACGUGAAUGAUGCUAGCUGUGUAGGGAAUCUCUCUGGAAUGUCUCAAGGUGGCUAUAGUCAGAAAUAAGCCUAAAUCUUUGACUUUUACAGUUGCCAUGCAGACAGCUGUGACUCAGCCCUUGCAUUUGAGGCAGUUAAUAGCAGGUGGGCUGCUCUGAGGGACCAGUCUGCAGCCUCCAGGUAUAGGCUCAAGUGAGCAUGAACUGAUUGUUGAAGGUGUAAUUGAAAAAGCUACAGUUUGGGCAGACCUAUGCUGUGCUGUGAGGUGAGUAUUGCUUCCAUAUUUUUUUCCCCACAGUUACAGUCACUUAGCACUGAGACUUCAGGGACUGAGCAGGGAAAUAACUCUAGGAGAGCCCUGCAUUUUAGCUUGGGUCUGAAUGGCAGAAUGCCUGCCUGAACCACAGAAGAAUUAGUAGAAAUGCAGAAAGCUCUUUCAGGAGCUCAUAGCUAAUUAAAUAGCACUUGAAGAAAACACAAAGCUGUAACAGUGUCCCUGGAGAAUUUGACCAGCGCUUAGCCAAACUUGAUGGGAAGCUGGAGAGGCCUUGGAGCAGCUCAUAGGACGAAAUGAUGCUUGUGUGGAAGGUUGGCUAGUGUUCCAGUAACUGCCUUCUGUCCUCAGCUUAAGUAAAUGUUGAAUGGCUGUGGCAGAUUGCUUCCUUCUGGUGGAGGCAAGGGGAGACAGGUACAGUUUUUUUUCUUUUUUGAACAAUGCAGGUAGUUGGUUUAGAUUUAGUUAAGCUAGGAGUUAUGAUUCUGUUCCAGGAGAGGCCUUCCCUGUCCUUAACGCCUUCUGCAGUGAAUGCCACAGUUCCAGGGCCACCACAGCUUGUGUUUUACCUCACUGGCUCUGAGAGAAUAAUAUUAUUAAAAUAAAUAAUAUCAUCUGGAAAUAAAUUAAGCUCUAAAUCUAUGUAAUGCUAAAAAAAAGACUCUGUCCAGGCUAUUCUUUUUUCUCGCUCUCUCUGCCUCUCUCUCUUCUUUUUUUUUUUUUUUUUUCCUAUCAAAGCCUUGAUUGAACCCAUUCAAGGAUUCUCUGAUUUGGGUGAUGUGGGCACACUGAUUUGGACCAAAAUUUGUAAUCGUGGUGAAGUGUUUGCAGUUCAGUGUGUCUGCCUGGAGAAACCAGCCGGGCUUGUACAAUGUUACUGUGGUGAAAUGGGGAAGGUGUCAGAGUGGGAGAUUUGCGAUCGGAGACGCAAGAGGCCUGAGAGGAUGUAGGUACUGAGAGAUGUGUAUAAAGGCUGGUCUGAUGAGCCAGAGGAAAACAGAGAUGUAGGAGGGGGUGGGAUGGAGGAUCAGGGUGUUGGCCAGCAAAACAGGGCAUGGGAGGGAAUCCAGUGAGUUAACAGGGAUUAGCAACAGUCUAACUUAACCACCUGCAGUUAUUAUUCCUUCUGAUACGUACAGCUUUAAUCCCUCUGUUAAGAAAGAAGUAGAUAACUGUACCAAACUUGUUUAUCCUCUAGGCUUCAAUUGAGGCUGACUGCCAAGGUUGUCCUAACCAUGUUUAGAGCCUUCUUCUCUGUGCUUUAUCUGUCUUUCCUCAUGUUUCUUAUCCUCAAGACUCUGUAAAAAAUAGUAUUGAGAAAAUGGUAUUGAGAAUAGCUCAGAAAGUUCCUUUGGGCAGUGACUUGGGAAGUGUUUUGGAACGGAGACUGACGAUCCUCCAUAACGGAGCCGGGCAGUUUGUCACAGCUACCUUUAGGCCGGCAGUAGCAUCCACCCACUUUCACUACGUUUCACCCAACCCUUGGCAACGCCUGCUUCUUCUGGAGACUUAGGUCUGAAUCUUUCUUAUGCCAACCCAGUGGGAACAUGUGGUGGUGUGUCUUCUCUCAGGUCACUUACUGGCAUUGUAGGGCCAACAAAGGCUGCAGCUCCACGAGCCCUUGGAUUCACCACUGAGAGAAGUUGCUCUGGUUUAAAACUAUCCUAGCAAAAAUGGCGAGCUCUGGGGUUUAACAGAGCAGGAGAAGCAGCUUUGGGAAUGAAUGGCUGAGAUGGAAUCUACAACUUUAUCAUCAUUCUUGGCUUUUGUUGGUUUUGUUAAAGGAAAUAUAGCCUGAGAGAGUUUGUGGCCAAGAUACAGAAGCAGUGGCAGAAUGGAGGUGAUUUAAGUGCACAGAUACUUGGGAAAUAGUGGUUGGAAGCAGGGUAAUUUCAGCAGCUUCUGGUCUCAUAUGUGGUUCCUGUGAUACGUUGUUAACCACUUGUACUGCUUCAGCUUUUGUGUUCCUCCUCUGUGGACUUUCAUUGUCACUCGUGCCUGUUGCUGCUCAGUUUGGUGAGUGGUGAAGAGCUGUUUUAGAAACUUUGCUUAGGUCUCAGCUUCAUUUCCUUGCCGACAGUGCUUCCUGCAUCUAAACAGGCCUCAGGCUCCCGUCAGGUUCAGGGCUCUCUGGAGAGUUCAUUCGUGCCUCCCCCAGCUCCAACACAUCAGGGAUUUGACCCUGUGUACUCGGCGUGUUGGGGGUUCUUAUUUCAUGACGUGCUCACUUGUCUCCCCAGCUCUAGCAGUGAAGAAGGUCCUGUUUGUGUAGGCAACGACCACGUUCUGUGUCUUUUCUGCCAUCCAUGUAGGGUGAUACUGAACCCGAGCCUUUUUUUUUUUUUUCCUUUUUAUUUUUUUUUGAUGCAUUGCUUUCUUAGUUCCUAAAAUGAGGAUAGCGAGACUAUUACCCUCCCCAUCCAGGAUGCAGUGAAAGGCUGCAUCUGUGCAGUAUAAACAAAGCCCUAAUUUACAUGUAAAUGUGUGUGAUAUCGCUGUAGCAGCAGAGUUGUACCAGUGAAGCCCUCCUUAUGUGCAGGCAGCUUAUGUCAGCAGAAUAGGGCUCUUUUUUCUCUUUUUUUUGAACAGAACUUUUCCGAGCACUGUCAGCUAUAUCAGCAAAAAACAUUCACUACCAAUAUAACUGCAUUCUCAUUAGAGCACAGAUCCCCAUGACAUUUUAAUUCCUAACUUCUUUUUAGGCACUUCUGAGGGCCUGUACCUAAGACUUUCUGCUAUGUGGAAGAGACCCCAAACACUCCUCCCAUUAGUACCCUGGCAAACGAGCUCAGAGCAGAUGUGGCCUCGUUUUAUCAAUAGCUGCAGAGCGCUUUGAGAGGUGGUUCAAGGCACUGAGCCUGGCAGAAGCUAGACCAGACUGUUAGGGCUGACUUCAAGGAGGACCACAGCGGUUUCUGCUUCUUCUGACAAUGUUGUUGGUACUGCAGGAGUCUGGCCAGGUUCCCCCUUAUUCACCUUUUCCUGUGUGAAGAGCAGAAUGAAAAGCCCCUGUAGGCCACUGGCAGUAUGGAUGGGGGAGCAGAAGAGACUGUUCCAUACGGUGUCACUUCGGUGGCCGUGUCUGGUCCCCGUGUGAAGAGCCCCUGACUGCUGCAGCCCCGUGGUUGCAGCACAUAUGGGAACCACAGGAUGCUUGUCCUGUGCUGUGGCCUUCUCUGGUGUAGCUGCUACCCUGGGCUGCCUGAGCCCUGCCCCUCUGCUUCAACUCUUUGUCCCUUUAGCCCCCGGUUUCUGACUGUGAAGAUACCGGCAUUAAUAGUUCUGGUUAGCUAGGAACACCCUGAGCACUUGGUACAAGUCUGUAGGAAGAGGCAUGCAGCGUUACUGACCUUUGGACAUGCGUUGGCUGAAGGGAAAUAAGCCGCAGCUCCUCUCGCAGGCCGUUUGCACUGACGAGCUGCCACAGGGGCUGUAGAGCAGCAGGGUGGGUAGCCGAGGCUGACACGAACAGUGGGGUGGCCAGAUAAGUCAGUUGGUCUAGCAGAGAGCUUCAUCAGCCAAGGAAUUAGUGGCAGCAAGCAUCAUGUGUUUAUUGUCCAGGAGCUGGGACAAGGUAUUUUGUCCACUGAGCAGAGAAAGAGGGUAUGUAAGGCCAUAGUGUUCCCUAGAAAAGAUGUCUUUGUUGUUAGUUUUAAUUUCAUCCCUUUCUGAUGCUGUUACAAAGGUGGCACGUGAGAAGAGAGCAUCCUACAGAGGAGAGAGAGAUGGCAAGGACAGCACACUGGCACGUGAGCAGUGACCAAACCUCAGCAUGGAGAAAGAAUGAAGGAAGGAGCAGUUUGUCCCCGUUCAGUGUCCUUGUGAGCAGUGAGGCGAGCCAGUUGGCACUUGUUAGGCACGUGGUGUGCAUGUACAGAGCUGUCUGGUGGAGGACCCUGCACCCACACUGCAAGAGAAGGUGCUCCAGGGAGCUCCACCGUGAACCACUUCAACUCCAGCACCACCAGGAGCUUGGAGCUCACCAGCGACAGAAAAUAAUUUUCAAUAAUAUUGAACGCUGAGUACCUGUGCACUUACUCUCCAGAUGGGACCCAUGGUUUUGUGGUAGGCUCCAAGUCACCUGAAAAAAACAGCAUUUCCAGUGAGAUUUCCAGGGAAAGGAGAUGUUAAAGAUCUGUGGAGACAGGGAUUGCAGUCUUCAGCAUCGAGCAGCCUCUGCUGUUCCCUCAAAAGUAUGCAAUGAUCAUUGCAGCUUAAAGGAAGGGUCCUAGGAGAAGGGAAGAACAGACAGUGGAGCAGACAAUGGAAGCGAUAAGACUGUGCAAGACUUGCCUUGCUGCAUAAAUCUGUGAUGAGGAGGGAGAUGUCUGCAGACUGACUUUCAGCCCAGGUAAGUGCUGAAGCAUCAAAGCACCGUGCCAAACCCUGAUGUCUCCUGGAGCACACAGACAGCACUGGGCCAGGAAGGGCUUAGAGUUGCUAUCUCUACACUUCUGUUUGACAUCCAGCCAUCGAAAGCAGGAGCAGUCCCUGAAACUGUUGCAGGAGAGGUGGGCUUGGGCUGUUCUCAAGUGCAGACAGGGUGUCAGGAGUGAAGAGUUCUCACUGCCAGCUACUUGUGUGUUACCGAUGGUUGGGAUUCAGGCAGGGAACAGGGGACGUGGUAGCACCUUGGCUACAAAGGUGGAGGAAGUAGUGGGAAAACGGCAGAUCUUGUUGUCCUUGUGGCACUGCUUGGAGGGAAGAGUGAGGGGGAGAAACGGGUUGUGAGCAAGGACAUAGUAGCUCCUACAAACUGCCAUCCCAGUGUGAGGAGCAAAAGAGAUGCCAGUUUUUCACCAGCAUUGGGAUGAGGACUUGACAGAGCAAUCAGUAUCAGUGCAAAGAAUAGAAGAUGGGUCUCCUACAUGGUGGAACAAAACCCUUGCUUUGAAAGGACCUGCAACAUGUUUUCAGCUCUCUGGACUGAAAAAAUGGGUAAUUUGCAUGCAGCAUUCAGCUGGAUUUAGAAUGGCUACAGCCUGUUUGCAGUAGUGGGGCUAAAAUCUUCCUGACUACGUGUCACAGACAUCUGAUAAUCAGCGCUUUUGCAAAGUCAGGUUUCAUCACAGCAAUGAGAACAAUCAGACAAACCAGUUAUUACAAGAUUAGCGCUAUUUGCUCGGAGUCUUUCCAGGUGCUGGCUGUAUUUGACAAAGGUCAGAUUAACAUCUGACGUUAGUCUUAGAGGAAUGCUGCCUGAAAAGCCACAGGGAAAAAGUGUGUAUGAAAGUGUGCUGACUGCUGUGGCAAAAAGCUGUACCUAGGCUUGAUCUCAGUCACUGCAACAGGCAAGACAAUGCCAGAUCAGCUUUCUCUGUUCUACAAAAGAUGGGACAUGCUAUGCAGCAAGUGGGAGUGAGAGGGGUGUUAGAUCUUGGUGCUUGUGCCAUGCUCAGCAAUGAUUGCUGCCUUUUCUCUGCCUACUUGGCUGUGAGCAAUGGCGUUUUUUUUUCUUCUUUGGAAGAAACUAUUUACAAAUAAUUUGUUGUUACCGCCACUGCUAAGGGUUUCUGGACACUCAGGUUUACUUAUGUUCAGCUCCAUCCCGUGAUUCCUAGCUCCACAAUCUCAAGAUGUGUCUAAGGAGCCAUCCCCUUACUAACCAGCAAGUCUUUCCAAAAUUUAAAUUCUGUUUGAAAACAAAGCUAACUUCAAAGUUUCAGUAACAACCAACACCUUUGCCCGGACUGAUUGUUUUUAAGCAAGAACAGUGCUUUGAAAGAUGAGUCUUCUUUCCAGUCUGUGUGUUCUGCUCUGGCCUCCUCCAUCAUUUCAAAAUCAAUAGCUGUCUCUGAUUGCCCCCCUCCCCUCCAGACCAUGCUCUUUGCUACCUCAUUUUGGUUUUAAUUUGCCACAGCAAAAUUGCAGUAAUUUUUCCCCCAUCCUAAUUAAGAAACCUAUCCAUUAAGGAGAAAGAAAACAAAAACAAAACCUUCUUAUCUAAGCCCUUUGUGCAGAACAGAGACAGAAAUGAUUGGUGAGAAGAUCAGCUCUAGAAAGCCAAGCCCUUUAUUGAUUCUUCUGGCCUUCCUCAGUAAAUACAGAAUGAGUUUUAAAUUCACCUAGAAGGAAGCUAAAAGCUUGUGUAAAGCGCUGACUUCCCAACAUCCAAGAAGAGUGAAGCAGUAUCUCUUCUGGUCUGUCUCACUUUUUACUCUCUCUAUAGUUUCACAAAAAUAUUUGGAGAAUGUUUCAUUGUAUCGUGCCUAACUUCUGUUUCUCUUUUUUCACAUUUUGCUGUAAAUUGGCCUUGCUCUUAACUUUACAGAGUGUAGUGGUUCUGACCUAUCUUUUGGAAGAACGUUGAGAUGUGUACAUGAAAGAGACUGGAAAAAUCUCUAUAGUGAGCAAACGUCCUCCUUAGCUCACCCACCAGCACUGAGUACUUGAGUUAAGGAAAGAAACACCGGGUGAUGGUGAAGGAGGGCUCAGCCUUUAGGCCAUUCAGUUCAUUGCACACUGCUGCUAAGCUCUGUUCUUACAGGCACAAAAAGGAAGAGAGAAAUUCCCAGGUAUUAGAGUGGAGACAGUCCACUACACAGUGGGAUUUUGUGGGAGAGGAUGCUCAGCAGCAACAUAGGAAAAGGACAGAGAUGGAAUAGAAAUAAGAUGGGAAAUGCCUACCCAGGGUUAGAACUUUGACUAUCCAGAGGAGUAAUCAUAGCCUUUAUGGUGAAGAGAGGGAAAGAUACCGCACUUCUACAGACUUCAUCCCCUCUCCCCUUCUCCCUGGAGCAGUGGAAGUGGGUGAUAUUUUCCAUGAUGCCUAUCUGAGCACAAGUGCUGGCUGUGAAUGAAAAUCAGAUCUGACUCCCUGCCACACUCCAGACACUGUCCUGGGGAGAUGGACGUGUAACUGAUGAACCUGUUCAGUUUCUGUGCACAGUCAGGUCUUCCUAAGAUGGGUCAUACACUUAAAAUAGCAGGAACAGGAUGCGGGUGAUGCUAGCUGGACUAAAAUUAUACUGAUAUUCCAGAAUGUUCCUCUCCCUGCUGCGACCCCAAAAGCAAAACACCCUAGGAUCCAGUUGAUUUAAAUGGAUCUGGUGGAUCUUGUGGGUUUGAGUUACGAUUCAGUGGUCCACUUAUUGUUGGCAUCCUGUUUGUAGCAGAAUCCAGCACUAGCAGAGAGACUGGAUACCACCUGAAGCUGGAAGGGGUGCAGAGAAGGGUUAUUGAGGCAUGUCAGGGGCCAAGGGCAGGCAAUCUAUGAGCAAAUAUUGUGGAUCUUGGGGUCCCUUUGUGUGGCGUAGAGAUUGAGGAGGAGAGGGGGAUCAAAUUGUAGACUGUAAUUAUUUGAAGGGGAGUUAUAAAGGCAGUGGAACCAAACUCUUGGUAGUAAUAGAUAGUAAUAAAAAGGCAGAGGGAAUGUUUCUAAGUUGUGAUUGGAAACUCAGGCAGGACAUAAAAAUUCUUCAUCAUGUGAGCUGGGCAACACUGGUGCAGGCUACUGAAAGAAUGGCAGGCUCUGCCAUCAGGGUUCUAAUAGCACAGGUAGCCUGUGGGCACCAGCACUAUUGCUAGCAGGAGGUCAGGCUGCACACCUGCAGAGGUGCCUCCAGCUGCUGCUCCUGGGGUCCCUUGGCUACAGGUACUGGAAGGUGACACAAAGGUACAGCCUGCAGGAGGUAAGCUCUGACUUACGUGUGGCACUGAGCUCACCUGGACUCCGUUAAAGUAAACAUGACCGUAUCAGUAGUCAGUGUUCAAUUCUUUGUAUUUGUUAAGCUAUUUGUGAUUAUCAUCUGCUAAAUAUAAAUAGCUGAAUUUUGUACCAUGCUAAACUUGGGUCAACAGCACCUUGUGCCUCUUGUACCAGAUCUGUAGCAUGCACCAGAUUGUUUUCAACUAAAUUUGGUUAUUAGGGUAUCCAGAGGCAUUGUCAAACACUUUCUGCUAAAACCUGUCUCUUUGCACAGAGAUAAUACAAGGAAGACUUUUUAUAUAGGGGUCUUCUGAGGCCUCCAGCAACUUAUUUUUCUGGACCAUUAAUUUCUGCAGUCCACAUACACCUGUUAACCUUUUGAGGUAACGUCUUCAGAUGUGGGCAAUUUUUACACUUUCAUCAGAACUGAAGUAUGCUUAAAGCACCUUGAGUUAUAGCUCAAUUUUGCAUCUUAAUUAAGUGGGAACAUGUCUUGUCACCAAUGAGUUUGUUCUUUGUGUUUUAUCUAUCCUGCUUGAGCUGUGAUGCAGAGAACGGGAAUGGGUUAUGUGAGUAGAUGGAGACAAAUCCAAGCUCGUCUGAAUUUUGCAAGAUGCAAACCAGUUCCAACCUGGACCUGCAGGCACAGCAGUGACAACAAGAAGCAAAAAAAUGACAAGCUCUCAAAAAAACCUGGGAUCAGAAUCUUCCAGGCAGCAGGCACAGCUCUAGGGACUGCUUUACCAGUAAGUUACUGCCUGCUGGGCAAGCAGAGGGCAUGCAGUAAAUCUGUCUUGGGCACUACUGCGCAGCCCAGUUUGUAACACUGAAUUUCCCUAGCAGAGUACUCUCAGGAGGCCUGAAAUGCUAAGUUUGUACAGGCAGUUUCCUCUUCUGCUUCCAGCAUUCAUCCCCCUGUGCAUUGAUUCUGAUGUAACUGUGGAUUUUAUUUUUCCUUUACUCUAGAGUACUAAAAAAAUAAAUUAGCAACUGCUUAA